ensembl:lncRNA
AUUUGCAAACUUACAAAAGAAAGUGUAAUAGCCUGCGUAUUGUUGUCAUUAGAACUGUUUUUCUGGUUAUUUCCUCAGGGACGAAAAGGAAAAUUCAGAGGGAACGAGAAUAAUAAAUGCAAAUUAUGAAUCCGUUUACCAAACACCGGUAAAGAUGGAGUGGUUGUCUUGCUGUUGUGCUGGUAUCAGACAUGGGCUCUUCAUCAGAUGACUAAUGGAGUUGUGCAGCUAACCAGGAGGCCCAAGGCUGUUUGUUAGCUCCUAACAAGGUGAACCAGCUCCUACGGAACAGCACACUAGCGCUGAAGGAUUUAUUAUAGAUCUGCGUGUCCGCGGGCCAUGAACAGUAUAGCGCCGGUCUCAUUGUAGUGGGUCCACCACACUAGCAGAGGGUUUAGAUCAUUAUUGCCUCAUUGUUUUGAUACAAUUUUGCAGAGCGGAUGAUGGAUGGAUGGAUAAUCGGAUGAGUAAAGGAGUUUUGGUAGCCUAGCACAUGAGGGUAAUGGAUGGACUGCAAAAACACACGAAAAUGAUAAGGAAAAGUGAGUUUUGAACAUGUUUUAUGAUGGAAUUUGGAAAAACAUUUUCAGUCUUUACACAUUUAGAUAGUUGACAUUGUUGAGUAGUGAUGUAGUAUGUUAUAAUUCACCUAAAGUUAUAUUAAACAGCA